GAACUUGUCAAGGAGCAGGAGGGAUGGCCGCACGCAUCCCUUGCUACAUCCUGGGAGGCUGCUACUGCUUCAUCCUGCUGCUCCUGCAGCUGCUCUUCCACCUGUGCUGGCUGCGGGGCAGCCGCCAGCAGCAGGGCAGACGUGGGGAAGCCUGCGGCUGCUGCUGGGGAGAGGGGAGCCAGCGUGCGGGAGCAGCCAGGGCCGGCACCCCAGGCUGGCAGCAGCAGCCGCCCCGCAGUGCCCAGGCAGAAUGAAGGCGCUCAGCUGGUGGCUCAGGGCUGCUUUUCCUCCUGGCACCUGCCCCUCUGCGGGACAAACCGGGGUCCUGGCCGCUGCCUGUCCCCAGGCACCGUCCUGCCUCCAGCGCACAACCACUCCCCACACUCACAUACCCCUUCUGUUAAAUUCCCACUCCCAUGGGCAAAUAAAAACCUUUCCUCUGGCAUCUCUGUCUCCAAAGUGCCUGGCAUGCGGCUGCAGAACCACCUGAAGCAGUUCCAGCAGCAAAGCGAGGGCCGGAAGAGAUUCCCAAAGCUUCUGGCCUGCCCCAGGAGGACCCAGGGGCUGCUUUGGUGGGGCAGGGGCUGCUUGGCUGCUGAGGCUGAAGGGUGACAGCUGAAGGAAGGCCCGGUGAGCUGCAUCCCCUGGAAAAUCCCCCCAAAAACGGGGAUGCGAUGGACGCGUUUUGCUGGCAGCUCCCUGCUGCGUGCGUGGAAGGGGUGCUGGGGCAGAAGCAGCGCCCACGGUGGGGGCACAGGGGACACCCCGCAGCCCCCCUCUCUCCCCACAGCCCCACAGUGUGCAGGUGGCACAGGAAGGAGCCGGGGCUCGCCCGCCCGCAGCGAACCCCACGGCGCCGAGGGGCUGAGCGAGAGCCUCCGACUUCCUCCCGGCCCAGGCGAGCGCAGCAGCCACAGGCGAUGUGUCCCGGCCGGCGCUGCUGGGGCCUCGGCUCCCUCCUGCUGCUGCUGCUGCUCGGGAGAAACCUGGGCUUCCUCGUGGAAAUCCCGCAGGAUGCAGUCAGUGGCACCGUGGGGCAGUCCGUGCUCCUGCCCGUCUCCUACACAUUCAACAGCUCCCCUCGCUUCCCAGUGUCGAUUCAGUGGAUGUUUGGUCACCCCUCACAAUGCUUCACAUUCGGGCCAUGUUGAGCUCUUCCCCGAGAACGCAUCCCUGCUGCUGCGGGACCUGAGGCUCAGUGACAGCGGGGUGUACAACGUCAGCUUUGUACAGCAACAACAAAGCAGGCACAUCACCCUGACCGUGCUCGAGCAGCCUGUCCCCACAGGCCCUUCCAGUGAAGGGAGAAACCUGGGCUUCCUCGUGGAAAUCCCGCAGGAUGCAGUCAAUGGCACCGUGGGGCAGUCCGUGCUCCUGCCCGUCUCCUACACAUUCAACAGCUCCCCUUGCUUCCCAGUGUCAAUUAAGUGGACGUUUGGUCAUCCCUCACAAGUAGUCAUCUCCUGCACAGUGCUGAACUGCUCCCUGGGUGCUGGGGGCGCUCCCAAGAACUGUACCGCAAAGUGUUUCCCCAGUGCUUCACGUUCACGCCGUGUUGAGCUCUUCCCCGAGAACGCGUCCCUGCUGCUGCAGGACCUGAAGCUCAGUGACAGCGGGGUGUACAAUGUCAGCUUUGUACAGCAACAACAAAGCAGGCACAUCACCCUGACCGUGCUCAAGCAGCCUGUCCCCACAGGCCCUUCCAGCGAAGGCACCAGCAAUCAAGACCACACCCAUAACUACAUAAUUGGAGCUUGCUCAUUAAUCUUCCUCCUUCUGCUGUUCCUGGUCUUCUGCGUUUGGCGCUGGGUGCAGCAGAAGAAGAGGAGAAUCGUUAAACAACAGCAGGCCCUGAACACACAGGAGCCCCACGUGGACAACACUGCGGCGAGGGAAGUAAUGACCAUUUAUUCCAGAGUCGGAGACAGCUUUGAACAUCCAGAGCUGAGAGCAUCACCACAGCUCAUCUACUCAUCCAUAACCUCCCUCGAUUCCUGAGGACAGGACUGGGCACCACCAGCUCCUGCUUUGGCUGCAGGAGCUGCCCAGAGCAGAGCUCUGAACUUUGCAGGAGAUAGCCCUGCCACAAAGGUGGCUGGUGAUUUUGUCACUGACCAGAGAAAUGUGCCCAAGGUAAAGGCAAAUCAGCAGUGCAUCCGUGGGAAGCCUUAUUCCACUGACUCGCCUUAAUCUGAGGGCUAACGGAGAGCACUGAAUGUAUUUCAGUCCUGUGCUCCAGGGUCACUUACCAAUUGUCUUGUCAUAUUAAAAGAAUGCAUGAAGAAGAUCUUUUGACCUGGAAAGCUGUCCAUAUUUUUAUGAGUAUGCCAAGUCACUGUAGAGCAGACUCUUCCUGCCAUGAAAUCUGCUUGGCCUUGGGAUCCCAGGGCAAUAGGUUCCUCUGCUGAUCUUUUGAAGAGUCCCCUUAAAGGGCAAGGGGAUGGGACUUACUGUACAAUGGAGUUCCUGGUACGUGGUGGCAUUCCUUUAAAGCUGUUUGUACAGGUGGAAGAAAGCUGAGAUGCCUAACUCUGUUUUAAAAUUAAAAGCCACAUCUCCCCUAGCAGCACCAGCUUUUUUAAAAUGCAGUAAGGGCAUAAAUUGAUUUUGUUUUGCUCUGGGCUUCAUGGAAAACAAGACAGUACAUACCGAAACAUGGAGCCCCAUCAGUAAUAAAUGGAUGCUAGGACAGGACA
rnacentral:lncRNA from 1 species